CCAUUCUAGAGACGGUGGAGGGCAGAGAGAAAUGACAUGGAACUAACCUUAAGGAAUGCACUAUCUAGCCAGGAGACAGACAUACAGCCAAAUAUGUAAGACAGUGGGAUAACUCUAGCGGAACAGUUGUGUGCUGGAACCAGCUAGCCAGAGCCCAUCUCUGUAGUGAGUGUGCAUCUCUUCCCAAGUCUGCUUUUAGCAUCUUCACAUUCAUGGCUUGAAGGUGGCCAUGGUGGGAGUAUUUACACCACAGAAAUCAGCAAAUGCUAUGCAUCAGGGCCCUAGGAAGGCCAAUUAUGAAACACCAGCAUAUGACUGGAUAGAAGGUGUCAGAGAAAAGACGGAGUUUCGCUCUUGAACCUGGGAGGCGGACGUUUUUAAAAACAGCUGCCUGGAGAAGCGGCCGGACGCAGGGGAAGGCUGCGCUGCCGGAAAGGGUUAACCCCGCGGGCGCCGACAUCUGGCAGGAGCGAGGGCGUUGGCAGAGCCCGGUCCGCCCGUACCAGUCUGUACAGGGGAGCUGUCCCGCCUGCUGAUUUAUCAUUCCCUAAUGUCACGGGGAUGGGAUGUUGAAAUUGUGGCUAGAAUGUGAAAUACGAAAAACACGAAGAUUAUGAUUUAGCGUCUGGGGAAGAUCAGCGUUAGCCUGCAGAACAGCUUGUAAACGGGAGGCAUCCUUGGCCCUCGCUUGUGGUUUUUGACUCCAACACUCAAGCUGGGGAUCUGGGCGGGCAGAGCGUUCUUGGGUUAGAGCAGACAGGCAAAAGUGGAAUUAAUAAGAGCAAAACCACUUCUGUGCUGCUAUGGGGAUAGUGCGGGCGAGCGCCAGGAGGACCAAAGUAAAUUUUAAUUAAACAGAGACCUGAUGUUGAAGGAUAAAUAAAACAACGUGGGGUGUAAACAGCUUAAAUCAGGGAUUCAAAUGACACCUGCGGGUGUCUAGACAUGAGGUGCAUCCUGAUAAUUUAUAGUCUCGGAGAAGAUGCAGAUGAGUAGGAUAAUAUCUGCAAAUUUUGCUCCUUAAAAGAAGUAAUAGCUUGAAUUUUAAGGAGGUACUAAAUAAGGGAACUAAGUGGGAGAAUGAUUUUAACAGUUAUCCGUGGAGGAAAAGGGGUUAGCAAAGAAACAC
rnacentral:lncRNA from 1 species